rnacentral:pre_miRNA from 1 species
GACUCACUCAACCUGGGUGUGAUGUUAGUUCGAUUUGGUAUCCAUCACAACCUCCUUGAGUGAGCGA